rnacentral:rRNA from 1 species
UACGUAGGGUGCAAGCGUUAAUCGGAAUUACUGGGCGUAAAGCGCACGUAGGCGGAUUGCUAAGUCAGGGGUGAAAUCCUGGAGCUCAACUCCAGAACUGCCCUUGAUACUGGCGGUCUCGAGUCCGGGAGAGGUGAGUGGAACUGCGAGUGUAGAGGUGAAAUUCGUAGAUAUUCGCAAGAACACCAGUGGCGAAGGCGGCUCACUGGCCCGGUACUGACGCUGAGGUGCGAAAGCGUGGGGAGCAAACAGG